rnacentral:lncRNA from 1 species
UCGGGAUCAGCCUGCUGUAACGGGGGCUCAACCUGCGCUAGCGGAGGAGGUCCGGGUAACUCCCUUCUCUCCUCUUGCCUUCGCUGGGCAGCUACGAGAGCUUCCACCAUCUCAUAUAAUCUGUCCAAUUCCUCCCGAAGCGAAUUAUCUUGGGCCGCUCGAUUUAGUGGGGGCCUUCCUCUCCUCAUUUCUGUGUACCUGCA